GCAUCAUUGGUCUAGUGGUAGAAUUCGUCGUUGCCAUCGACGAGGCCCGUGUUCGAUUCACGGA
rnacentral:tRNA from 1 species